GAGUUUCGGGCGCUGAGUCGAAUGGUCUUGGUCCGAAGCCUCUACGACGAAGCGUUCUUGAGAUAUUUCACUUUGAAAUUGCAAAAACGGGGGCCGCGCCCUGACGUCAUGCGGCCAUUUGGUUACAUCAUCACGGGCUGCCUACGUCAUUGUGGCAAAGUCGUUUCUCUUCGCCAAUCUACAAGCACUAAUUUUAGUUGGUAUUUCAAGGGAAGAUGGGCGAUUCCGAACAAUCCUCUGUCCCCAGCAAUGAAGGCAGCGAUGCUGAGGCCAGUGAGGACGACCAACAGCCCACCGCCGCGUAUGGUUGGGGCAGGGAGCCCAGAUACUCUGCUGAGGAGCUGCCAUCGCGUGUAACAAAUGUUGAGGAAGAAGAUGCUUCAGCAGCUGCGUCCGACAGAAGACGAGUAGCUUGGCCACCAGAAUCUCGAUUCGUUUGGGACUCCGACUGGUGCGAGCGUGGACAAAAGUGUAUAGCCAUGCCCAGCCUGCGGGAAUGAUUUUGCUGGUAGGAUGCUGCCGUCGUUGUCGACAAGACGGCCCAAGGUUUCUUGCGUAGCGGACCUCGCAGAUUACGAGAUCGUAUCCUUGCAUUAGGCUGUGCCCAUCACUGCUCUUCGAGGUUAUCUCGACAUGCAGAAGCCGCCAAUGCCAGUGACAGAAGAGUCUGACAUUAGAUCUCUACGCUAUGCGGCACACAGGCAGUACACACUAUGUACACGGCAAAUUGGGCAAGCACGUUCGUUGUCGUCUUCCAGCCUGCGUUGUGAAUACCAUCAGGCAAAGAUAUCCAAAUCCUGCACCACCUCAGCCUUCUCAGGAGGCUUCCACCUGGAAUUUGGCAGGGAAACACGCUUCUCCAAGGCAGGAACAUGGAGGUUGCCAUUUGCAACCGCUACCACCUCACACAUGAGCUUGUCAACAUACUCAUAGCUCUUUCUGUCGUAUAAUUUUCUAUUUGGCCACAGUCUUCUUUAUGCUUUGAGAACUGGACUUUAUACCUUCC